GAUGAACGCUGGCGGCGUGCCUAAUACAUGCAAGUCGAGCGAACAGACGAGAGUGCUUGCACUCUCUGACGUUAGCGGCGGACGGGUGAGUAACACGUGGGUAACCUACCUAUAAGACUGGGAUAACUUCGGGAAACCGGAGCUAAUACCGGAUAAUAUUUAGCUUCGCAUGAAGCAAUAGUGAAAGACGGUUCUGCUGUCACUUAUAGAUGGACCCGCGGUGUAUUAGCUAGUUGGUGAGGUAACGGCUCACCAAGGCAACGAUACAUAGCCGACCUGAGAGGGUGAUCGGCCACACUGGGACUGAGACACGGCCCAGACUCCUACGGGAGGCAGCAGUAGGGAAUCUUCCGCAAUGGACGAAAGUCUGACGGAGCAAUGCCGCGUGAGUGAAGAAGGUUUUCGGAUCGUAAAACUCUGUUGUAAGGGAAGAACAAGUACGUUAGUAACUGAACGUACCUUGACGGUACCUUACCAGAAAGCCACGACUAACUACGUG
rnacentral:rRNA from 1 species